rnacentral:lncRNA from 1 species
GGCAGGAAUCCUUAUGUGGUGCAGAAAUCCUCCUUGAUUCCAGAGAGUCUGAAUCCGAAUCUGCACUCCAGUGAAAUUUUUUCAGCUAAAGACAUCAGAUCAAAAAGUGCCUUAAUCCAGCUCUGAAGAGCAAUGGAUAGUUUCCUGGGUUCCUAGCCAAUAACUGACUGAUGCAGUCAUUUAAUGGUGAAAUCAUGUCCACAAGAUGGCCCGUCAGAAUACUGCUUUGUGGAGCUAUAAACCAAAGUUGCACGCGCCCCCUUGCAGACAAACGAGGGUGAAAUGAGACAGGCAUGACAUGGCUGGAAGAGAGAUGGAUCAAAGGAUUUCCUUACGUUGCAAUCAAUACUAAGUGCUGCUUUGACAUAUGUUAUCCACCGGGAGAGCAGAACUGGAGUUGUCAUAAAGUAAUUAGAGGCUGGAUUGGGGAGCAUUGUGCAUGCCCUUCAACCAAAUGCCACAGAAGGACUGAAGUAGCAUAUACCUUGCUAAAGAUAAGAGACAUACAACUUACUCUGUGGGCACCCCACAAACGCUUCAUCACCGUCAUUUUGACCGGUUGUGGAUGUGUGCAUGGGUCACUAUUGUUUGCAGAAAAGAAUUCUUUGGUAAGAAGUGAGGGCUACAAUAAUCUCUGGACAUAAAAUAUUUAAAAUAAAGAAAAUAGAUGAGCCAAUUAAAAUAUUGACUGUGGAUCUGAACGGAGAGUUCUCAAAAGAGGAGGUAAAAAUGGCUAAGAAAUAUCUUUAAAAGUGUUCAAUACCCUGGGCAGUACUUGCGUGCGUGUAUGCAUGUGUAUGUAUGUGUGUGUAUGUGCAUUGCAUGUGUGUGUGUAUGUGUGUGUAUGUAUGUGUGUGUAUGUGUGUGUAUGUGUGUGUGUAGUUCU